AUUGAACGCUGGCGGAAUGCUUUACACAUGCAAGUCGAACGGCAGCACGGACUUCGGUCUGGUGGCGAGUGGCGAACGGGUGAGUAAUGUAUCGGAACGUGCCCAGUCGUGGGGGAUAACGUAGUGAAAAUUACGCUAAUACCGCAUACGAUCUAUGGAUGAAAGCGGGGGAUCGCAAGACCUCGCGCGAUUGGAGCGGCCGAUAUCAGAUUAGGUAGUUGGUGGGGUAAAGGCCCACCAAGCCAACGAUCUGUAGCUGGUCUGAGAGGACGACCAGCCACACUGGAACUGAGAUACGGUCCAGACUCCUACGGAAGGCAGCAGUGGGGAAUUUUGGACAAUGGGCGAAAGCCUGAUCCAGCCAUUCCGCGUGCAGGAUGAAGGCCCUCGGGUUGUAAACUGCUUUUGUACAGAACGAAAAGGUUUCUACUAAUACUAGGAGCUCAUGACGGUACUGUAAGAAUAAGCACCGGCUAACUACGUGCCAGCCGCCGCUGUAA
rnacentral:rRNA from 1 species